AGCAGCCGCGGUAAUUCCAGCUCCAAUAGCGUAUAUUAAAGUUGUUGCAGUUAAAAAGCUCGUAGUUGAAUUUCGGGAUUGACACAUCGGUCGUGCCCUAAGGGGUAUGAACUGGUGUAGUCAAUUUCUCACCUUCUGGAGAACCGCGCUGUCCUUAAUUGGGUGACGCGGGGAACCAGGACCUUUACUUUGAAAAAAUUAGAGUGUUUAAAGCAGGCAUUUUGCUUGAAUACAUUAGCAUGGAAUAAUAAAAUAGGACGGCAUGAUUCUAUUUUGUUGGUUUCUAGGAUCACCGUAAUGAUUAAUAGGGAUAGUUGGGGGCAUUAGUAUUCAAUUGUCAGAGGUGAAAUUCUUGGAUUUAUUGAAGACUAACUACUGCGAAAGCAUUUGCCAAGGAUGUCUUCAUUAAUCAAGAACGAAAGUUAGGGGAUCGAAGACGAUCAGAUACCGUCGUAGUCUUAACCAUAAACUAUGCCGACUAGGAAUCAGACGAUGUUAAUUUUUAAUGACUCGUUUGGCA
rnacentral:rRNA from 1 species